AGGAAAGGUGGCAGAGUGGUUGAAUGCAUCAGUUUUGAAAACUGUCGUAAUGAUUUCAUUACCGGGGGUUCGAAUCCCCCUCUUUCCUU
rnacentral:tRNA from 1 species